AUUACUUCAACGUACCUCACUAACAUCCUCUUAGGUGUAGUAUCUGUUCUUUUCAGUUUAAUCUCUGAAACGAGUCUACGGACUCUUUUAAGAUUAUGUGAGUUUUUUCAUACUUACUGCUACGAACGCCUUCUAACAACCUGUUAGUCUUAUUUUUGAAAACCGUCACUAGGCCGCUGAGCUUGCUCAUGUCCUGUGGCACCGUGUCUCUGGUAUUGCACUGUCUCCAGACGACGCGAACACAC
rnacentral:snRNA from 1 species